rnacentral:rRNA from 1 species
GACGAACGCUGGCGGCGUGCCUAAUACAUGCAAGUAGGACGCUGAAGGAGGAGCUUGCUUCUCUGGAUGAGUUGCGAACGGGUGAGUAACGUGUAGGUAACCUGCCUGGUAGCGGGGGAUAACUAUUGGAAACGAUAGCUAAUACCGCAUAAUAGUAGAUGUUGCAUGACAUUUGCUUAAAAGGUGCAAUUGCAUCACUACCAGAUGGACCUGCGUUGUAUUAGCUAGUUGGUGGGGUAACGGCUCACCAAGGCGACGAUACAUAGCCGACCUGAGAGGGUGAUCGGCCACACUGGGACUGAGACACGGCCCAGACUCCUACGGGAGGCAGCAGUAGGGAAUCUUCGGCAAUGGACGGAAGUCUGACCGAGCAACGCCGCGUGAGUGAAGAAGGGUGUCGGAUCGUAAAGCUCUGUUGUAAGAGAAGAACGAGUGUGAGAGUGGAAAGUUCACACUGUGACGGUAUCUUACCAGAAAGGGACGGCUAACUACGUG